rnacentral:lncRNA from 1 species
AAAGUUAUAUAGUUAAUCACCUUCAGGAACUCUAAACAUACACCUUUUAUAAACAUUUAUUUCAUUCUUUUAUUUUUAUUAGGUUUAUAUGGCACCACCACCCUAACCUACACAACCCCAAAGAUAAACUUUUUAUUUGUAACAUGGAUCAAAACUUUGAAUAAGCUUAAAAAGAAUAACUAAAAUAGCAAAGAUAUGUCAAUUCUGGUCAUGGGGAAAUGUGUAGGUUUCAUGAAGAAAAAGUAUGUAACCUGCAAACAAAACAACAAAUAUCAUAUAAAAUUCUACAACACCAUCAAUUUAGAAUGCAGUGAUGUGUGUGUGAAUUGAACUAAAUCAACAACCCAUUCAUACCAUGUAGAGUAAACCUUUGAGUUAGCAACAUGUCUUUUUAUUACCAUGAGAGGUAUAGUCAAAGAAAAUCCAAAAAGAAUA